GACGUAGGGGCGUAGCGUUGUCCGGAAUAUUGGGCGUAAAGAGCUCGUAGGCGGUUGUCGUCACGUCGGCCGUGAAAACCUGCAGCUUAACUGUGGGCGUGCGGUCGAUACGGGCAUCACUGGAGUUCGGCAGGGGAGACUGGAAUUCCUGGUGUAGCGGUGAAAUGCGCAGAUAUCAGGAGGAACACCGGUGGCGAAGGCGACUACCUGGCCUGUUCUU
rnacentral:rRNA from 1 species